rnacentral:rRNA from 1 species
GACGAACGCUGGCGGCGUGCUUAACACAUGCAAGUCGAACGGAAAGGCCCUGCUUUUGUGGGGUGCUCGAGUGGCGAACGGGUGAGUAACACGUGAGUAACCUGCCCUUGACUUUGGGAUAACUUCAGGAAACUGGGGCUAAUACCGGAUAGGAGCUCCUGCUGCAUGGUGGGGGUUGGAAAGUUUCGGCGGUUGGGGAUGGAUUCGCGGCUUAUCAGCUUGUUGGUGGGGUAGUGGCUUACCAAGGCUUUGACGGGUAGCCGGCAUGAGAGGGUGACCGGCGACAUUGCUACUGAGAUACGGCCCAGACUCCUACGGGAGGCAGCAGUGGAGAAUAUGGCACAAUGGGCGGAAGCCUGUGGCAGCAACGCCGCGUGCGGGAUGACGGCCUACGGGUUGUAAACCGCUGUGGCCUGAGACGAGGAGUGAGUGACGGUAAUGGGUAAAGAAGCACCGGCUAACUACGUG